GAUGAACGCUGGCGGCGUGCCUAAUACAUGCAAGUCGAGCGAACGGACGAGAAGCUUGCUUCUCUGAUGUUAGCGGCGGACGGGUGAGUAACACGUGGAUAACCUACCUAUAAGACUGGGAUAACUUCGGGAAACCGGAGCUAAUACCGGAUAAUAUUUUGAACCGCAUGGUUCAAAAGUGAAAGACGGUCUUGCUGUCACUUCUAGAUGGAUCCGCGCUGCAUUAGCUAGUUGGUAAGGUAACGGCUUACCAAGGCAACGAUGCAUAGCCGACCUGAGAGGGUGAUCGGCCACACUGGAACUGAGACACGGUACAGACUCCUACGGGAGGCAGCAGUAGGGAAUCUUCCGCAAUGGGAGAAAGCCUGACGGAGCAACGCCGAGUGAGUGAUGAAGGUCUUCGGAUCGUAAAACUCUGUUAUUAGGGAAGAACAUAUGUGUAAGUAACUGUGCACAUCUUGACGGUACCUAAUCAGAAAGCCACGGCUAACUACGUG
rnacentral:rRNA from 1 species